UCCGAGUUGACCCCGGCAGUCUCCUAUGAGUCCCCGCCAUAACGCGCUGGCAACAUAGAACGAGGGUUGCGCUCGUUGCGGGACUUAACCCAACAUCUCACGACACGAGCUGACGACAACCAUGCACCACCUGUGAACCGACCGCAAGCGGGGCACCUGUUUCCACCCCGGUCCACUGCGCUUCGAGCCCAGGUAAGGUUCUUCGCGUUGCAUCGAAUUAAUCCACAUCAUCCACCGCUUGUGCGGGUCCCCGUCAAUUCCUUUGAGUUUUAAUCUUGCGACCGUACUCCCCAGGCGGUCAACUUCACGCGUUAGCUUCGUUACUGAAGGAUUUCACUCCUCCAACAACCAGUUGACAUCGUUUAGGGCGUGGACUAC
rnacentral:misc_RNA from 1 species